rnacentral:rRNA from 1 species
GACGAACGCUGGCGGCGUGCUUAACACAUGCAAGUCGAGCGGUAAGGCCCUUUCGGGGGUACACGAGCGGCGAACGGGUGAGUAACACGUGGGUGACCUGCCCUUAGCUCUGGGAUAAGCCUGGGAAACUGGGUCUAAUACCGGAUAUGACUCCACUGACGCAUGUUGUGGGGUGGAAAGCCUUGUGCGGCUAGGGAUGGGCCCGCGGCCUAUCAGCUUGUUGGUGGGGUGAUGGCCUACCAAGGCGACGACGGUAGCCGGCCUGAGAGGGCGACCGGCCACACUGGGACUGAGACACGGCCCAGACUCCUACGGGAGGCAGCAGUGGGAAUCUUGCGCAAUGGGCGAAAGCCUGACGCAGCGACGCCGCGUGAGGGAUGACGGCCU